GCAUUAAUGGGGUAGUGGUAACCUGGGUCGUUGCCAUUUGAGCAGUCGAACGCGCUGCUUCGACCCGCCGGGGGUUCGAUUCCCUCUUAAUGCA